rnacentral:rRNA from 1 species
GAUGAACGCUGGCGGCGUGCUUAACACAUGCAAGUCGAACGAUGAAGCCCAGCUUGCUGGGUGGAUUAGUGGCGAACGGGUGAGUAACACGUGAGUAACCUGCCCUUAACUCUGGGAUAAGCCUGGGAAACUGGGUCUAAUACCGGAUAGGAGCGUCCACCGCAUGGUGGGUGUUGGAAAGAUUUAUCGGUUUUGGAUGGACUCGCGGCCUAUCAGCUUGUUGGUGAGGUAAUGGCUCACCAAGGCGACGACGGGUAGCCGGCCUGAGAGGGUGACCGGCCACAAGGGGACUGAGACACGGCCCAGAGUCGUACGGGGGGCAGCAGUGGGGAAUAUUGCACAAUGGGCGCAAGCCUGAUGCAGCGACGCCGCGUGAGGGAUGACGGCCUUCGGGUUGUAAACCUCUUUCAGUAGGGAAGAAGCGAAAGUGACGGUACCUGCAGGAGAAGCACCGGCUAACUACGU